rnacentral:misc_RNA from 1 species
CUUCCGUAGGUGAACCUGCGGAAGGAUCAUUACCGAGUGAGGGCCCUCUGGGUCCAACCUCCCACCCGUGUUUAUCGUACCUUGUUGCUUCGGCGGGCCCGCCUCACGGCCGCCGGGGGGCAUCCGCCCCCGGGCCCGCGCCCGCCGAAGACACACAAACGAACUCUUGUCUGAAGAUUGCAGUCUGAGUACUUGACUAAAUCAGUUAAAACUUUCAACAACGGAUCUCUUGGUUCCGGCAUCGAUGAAGAACGCAGCGAAAUGCGAUAAGUAAUGUGAAUUGCAGAAUUCAGUGAAUCAUCGAGUCUUUGAACGCACAUUGCGCCCCCUGGUAUUCCGGGGGGCAUGCCUGUCCGAGCGUCAUUGCUGCCCUCAAGCACGGCUUGUGUGUUGGGCUCUCGCCCCCCGCUUCCGGGGGGCGGGCCCGAAAGGCAGCGGCGGCACCGCGUCCGGUCCUCGAGCGUAUGGGGCUUCGUCACCCGCUCUGUAGGCCCGGCCGGCGCCCGCCGGCGAACACCAUCAAUCUUAACCAGGUGACCUCGAUCAGGUAGUUGCCC